rnacentral:rRNA from 1 species
UGGGAAUCUUCCCAUGGACGCAAGUCUGAUGGAGCAACGCCGCGUGAGUGAAGAAGGUUUUCGGACCGUAAAGCUCUGUUGUUGGUGAAGAAGGAUAGAGGUAGUAACUGGCCUUUAUUUGACGGUAAUCAACCAGAAAGUCACGGCUAACUACGUGCCAGCAGCCGCGGUAAU